rnacentral:rRNA from 1 species
UNCACGCCGUAAACGAUGAGUGCUAGGUGUUAGGCCCUUUCCGGGGCUUAGUGCCGCAGCUAACGCAUUAAGCACUCCGCCUGGGGAGUACGACCGCAAGGUUGAAACUCAAAGGAAUUGACGGGGGCCCGCNCAANCGGUGGAGCAUGUGGUUUAAUUNGAAGCAACGCGAAGAACCUUGCCAGGUCUUGACAUCCCUCUGACCGCUCUAGAGGUAGAGUUUUCCUUCGGGACAGAGGUGACAGGUGGUGCAUGGUUGUCGUCAGCUCGUGUCGUGAGAUGUUGGGUUAAGUCCCGCAACGAGCGCAACCCCUAUUGUUAGUUGCCAUCAUUCAGUUGGGCACUCUAGCGAGACUGCCGGUAAUAAACCGGAGGAAGGUGGGGAUGACGUCAAAUCAUCAUGCCCCUUAUGACCUGGGCUACACACGUGCUACAAUGGCUGGUACAACGAGUCGCAAGCCGGUGACGGCAAGCUAAUCUCUGAAANCCAGUCUCAGUUCGGAUUGUAGGCUGCAACUCGCCUACAUGAAGUCGGAAUCGCUAGUAAUCGCGGAUCAGCACGCCGCGGUGAAUACGUUCCCGGGCCUUGUACACACCGCCCGUCACACCACGAGAGUUUGUAACACCCG